AUUGAACGCUGGCGGCAUGCCUUACACAUGCAAGUCGAACGGCAGCAUGAUCUCGCUUGCUAGAUUGAUGGCGAGUGGCGCACGGGUGAGUAAUACAUCGGAACGUGCCCUGUAGUGGGGGAUAACUAGUCGAAAGAUUAGCUAAUACCGCAUACGACCUGAGGGUGAAAGUGGGGGACCGCAAGGCCUCAUGCUAUAGGAGCGGCCGAUGUCUGAUUAGCUAGUUGGUGAGGUAAAGGCUCACCAAGGCGACGAUCAGUAGCUGGUCUGAGAGGACGAUCAGCCACACUGGGACUGAGACACGGCCCAGACUCCUACGGGAGGCAGCAGUGGGGAAUUUUGGACAAUGGGCGAAAGCCUGAUCCAGCAAUGCCGCGUGUGUGAAGAAGGCCUUCGGGUUGUAAAGCACUUUUGUCCGGAAAGAAAUGGAUCUGGUUAAUACCUGGGGUCGAUGACGGUACCGGAAGAAUAAGGACCGGCUAACUACGUG
rnacentral:rRNA from 1 species